rnacentral:rRNA from 1 species
CGCUCAACAGCUAGCCCCCUCCCCAACUUCAACAAACCCCUAUUAAUACCCCUAAAUACCCCCAUUUUAUUUUAACAAAACAUUUUUCCCUCUUAGUAUAGGUGACAGAAAAGAAACCUCCGGCGCAAUAGAAAAAGUACCGUAAGGGAAUGCUGAAAAAGAAAUGAAAAAACUCAGUAAAGCCUCAAAAAGCAGAGUUUAACUCUCGUACCUUUUGCAUCAUGAUUUAGUGAGUGUUCUCCAAGCAAAGCGUACUUUAGUUUGAUACCCCGAAACUACGUGAGCUACUUCAAGACAGCCUAUUAAUAGGGCAAACCCAUCUCUGUGGCAAAAGCGUGGGAAGAACUUUGAGUAGAGGUGACAAACCUACCGAACCUAGUUAUAGCUGGUUGUCCAAGAAAUGAAUAGAAGUUCAGCCUCUAAGCUUCUCUUUUCACCUGAGCUUAACUCCUUUAGAUGUAUUAAAGAAACUAAGAAAGUUAGUCAAAGGGGGUACAGCUCCUUUGAAUCAAGACACAACUUUAACAGGCGGGUAAAGAUCAUAGUAACCAAAGCUAAACAUUCUGGUGGGCCUAAAAGCAGCCAUCCCUUAGAAAGCGUUAAAGCUCAGACAUAUUCUUAUACCUUAUUAUCUUGAUCAAUAAAUCUCACCCCCCUAACCAUACUGGACCCUCCCCUGCCCCCAGGGGUGUGAUUAUGCUAAUAUGAGUAAUAAGAGAGCCCCGCCUCUCUCCCUGCACACGUGUACCUCGGAACAGACAAUCCACCGACCAUUAACGGCCCCAAACAAAGAGGGCCCUAGAUCCUAACUCAAAACCUAGUAAAACAUCUAAAAAUUAACCGUUAAUCCCACACAGGUGUGCCCCAAGGAAAGACUUAAAGAAAGAGAAGGAACUCGGCAAACACAUUAAGCCUCGCCUGUUUACCAAAAACAUCGCCUCUUGUGCCCCCCAAAAUAAGAGGUCUUGCCUGCCCUGUGACUGUUUGUUUAACGGCCGCGGUAUUUUAACCGUGCGAAGGUAGCGCAAUCACUUGUCUUUUAAAUAAAGACCCGUAUGAAUGGCAUAACGAGGGCUUAGCUGUCUCCUCUUUCAAGUCAAUGAAACUGAUCUUUCCGUGCAGAAGCGGGAAUUUAAACAUAAGACGAGAAGACCCUUUGGAGCUUUAGGCACUAUGACAGCUUACAUUAAACACCCUCAAAUAAAAGAAAAGAAACAAAGUAAGCCCUGCCCUAAUGCCUUUGGUUGGGGCGACCACGGGGAAUAAAAUAACCCCCAUGUGGAACGGGAAAACUCCUCCUAUAACUAAGAGUUACAACUCUAAAAAACAAAAAUUUUGACCAAUAAGAUCCGGCAAUGCCGAUCAACGGAUCGAGUUACCCUAGGGAUAACAGCGCAAUCCUCUUUUAGAGCCCAUAUCGACAAGAGGGUUUACGACCUCGAUGUUGGAUCAGGACAUCCUAAUGGUGUAGUCGCUAUUAAGGGUUCGUUUGUUCAACGAUUAAAGUCCUACGUGAUCUGAGUUCAGACCGGAGUAAUCCAGGUCAGUUUCUAUCUAUGCUAUGCUUUUUUCUAGUACGAAAGGACCGAAAAAAGGAGGCCUCUACUUAAAGCACGCCUCCCCCCCCACCUGAUGAAAUCAACUAAAAUAGACAAAAGGACAUACUCUAAUGCCUGAGAAAAAGGCCC